AUUGAACGCUGGCGGCAGGCCUAACACAUGCAAGUCGAACGAGUGGCGGACGGGUGAGUAAUGUCUGGGAAACUGCCCGUUGGAGGGGGAUAACUACUGGAAACGGUAGCUAAUACCGCAUACCAUCGGAUGUGCCCAGAUGGGAUUAGCUAGGAGGUGGGGUAACGGCUCACCUAGCCGACGAUCCCUAGCUGGUCUGAGAGGAGGACCAGCCACACUGGAACUGAGACACGGUCCAGACUCCUACGGGAGGCAGCAGUGGGGAAUAUUGCACAAUGGGCGCAAGCCUGAUGCAGCCAUGCCGCGUGUAUGAAGAAGGCCUUAGGGUUGUAAAGUACUUUCAGCGAGGAGGCGUUACUCGCAGAAGAAGCACCGGCUAACUCCAUGCCAGAAGCCGCGGUAAUAC
rnacentral:rRNA from 1 species